GUUCCGACCUGCACGAAUGGCGUAACGACUUCCCCGCUGUCUCCAACAUCGACUCAGCGAAAUUGAAUUGCCUGUCAAGAUGCAGGCUUCCCGCGGUUAGACGGAAAGACCCCGUGCACCUUUACUACAGCUUCGCACUGGCAUCAGGAUUGUGAUGUGCAGGAUAGGUGGUAGGCUUUGAAGCGGUGACGCCAGUCAUCGUGGAGCCUCCCUUGAGAUACCACCCUUCGCACUCUUGAUGUCUAACCGCGGUCCGUUAUCCGGAUCCGGGACCCUGCGUGGCGGGUAGUUUGACUGGGGCGGUCGCCUCCUAAAGCGUAACGGAGGCGCGCGAAGGUUGGCUCAGAGCGGU
rnacentral:rRNA from 1 species